AUAUAAUUUACAUAUAUUACACUCUUUAUCAAUUGCGUUGUAUUUUUUUUAACAUUGAAUGAUGUAUGCGUGGUAUUUUGAACUAAUCUCUAAUUUUCAAUCAAUGCAGACUAGCUGUCAUGUUUGCAAACCGUGUGCUGAAAUACUUUCUCCAAAAAAAGCAUGUACACACACAAUCACAAACAUGUUCUAAUUAGAGGCAAAGUUGUAUCGUUUACGCCUCAAACGUCAAGGUUUGACACCCAAAGUCUUGCACAAUACUUUAUAGGCACAAUUUGCAAUAAUUUUCUCAAUCUUGCUGAUAGCAUAAUUGUUUAAGGCAUUGUGUGUGAAAAUGAAACAAGGUCUGGGUCGAUUAAGUUUUGAAACAAAGUCCGACUCUUUUUUGUCCGACUUUCUCAAAUUUUUAUCAAAUUCUUUUCCAACUUUUUUAAAAUCUCAAAUUGUUUAUUAGACUUUUAUUGGUUGGGGUUAGAGAAGGGUUUAACUAUGAUAGAGUAGAAGGUGCUAUUCCGUAUUUAGGCGCAAGUGCAUGUACACGCUAAAGCCCAUUUUCCACAGGCAAUUUUUAUGUGCGAACAAUCACAUUCCCAAGAUUUGUUUUUCGCUUUGCACGAACAAAUUCACCUAGUGAAAAAUGGGCUUUAGGCAUUAACGACAGUAUGCCAGCAAAUCAUAAUUUCCUAAUUUCCAUCAAGCCAUCAAUUGAUGUAAAACUAUUUCCUUGUUAUCAUCCAAUGACUUUACUUAUUUGUCAAUUGAAUACAGCCGUUUUUCCCAAUAUCUUCUUGUUGCUUCCCCAAAUCUUGGCUUCGCACCACAACGUAUUGGAGAUUAUCCAACCAUUUUCCAAGCCAAUGUGCUAGCUAUUCAGAUCCUGUCUCAAAAAUCUGGCUGUGUCAGCCGCCACAAGAAUAAGUAAUAUCCAUAAAACAGUGAACACAUAGUACCAAGAAAAUAAAACGUGUCCAUCCAGCUUGCUUGAAACCAGACAAACAAAGAUGAAAUUUAAUACUACAAGCAAAAGAAACCAGAGUUUUCGCUUCACAGAGAGUUCAUCGUCAUAAAAACGUCUCCUAGAAUGCCUUAUAAUUCUCGACGAAACUACGAGUAUUAAAACGCCGUCGUAUAUUAAAACGGGUACGAAUACAACAAAAUAGUUCCAGUCGCUUUCACUGUCCACUCGUACGACUAAAAAAAUGGUUGUUAUUAAAGUUACACUCCAAAGACACAAUACUCUUGCAGGCAAAGGAACGCCGCCAACCAUAUUUGAAAGACUCGAGCUUCGUCCGCGCUUUGUUUUGACCCGUAGGAGAC
rnacentral:lncRNA from 1 species